rnacentral:misc_RNA from 1 species
GAUGAAGAACGCAGCGAAAUGCGAUAAGUAAUGUGCAUUGCAGAAUUCAGUGAAUCAUCGAAUCUUUGAACGCACAUUGCGCCCGCCAGUAUUCUGGCGGGCAUGCCUGUUCGAGCGUCAUUACAACCCUCAGGCCCCCGGGCCUGGCGUUGGGGAUCGGCGGAGCCCCCCGUGGGCACACGCCGUCCCCCAAAUGCAGUGGCGGCCCCGCCGCAGCUUCCAUCGCGUAGUAGCUAACACCUCGCGACUGGAGAGCGGCGCGGCCACGCCGUAAAACACCCAACUCUUCUGAAGUUGACCUCGAAUCAGGUAGGAAUACCCGCUGAACUUAAGCAUAUCAAUAAGCGGAGGA